GACGAACGCUGGCGGCGUGCUUAACACAUGCAAGUCGAACGCUGAAGCUCAGCUUUUGUUGGGUGGAUGAGUGGCGAACGGGUGAGUAACACGUGAGUAACCUGCCCCCUUCUUUGGGAUAACGCCCGGAAACGGGUGCUAAUACUGGAUAUUCACUGGUCUUCGCAUGGGGGUUGGUGGAAAGGGUUUUUCUGGUGGGGGAUGGGCUCGCGGCCUAUCAGCUUGUUGGUGGGGUGAUGGCCUACCAAGGCUUUGACGGGUAGCCGGCCUGAGAGGGUGACCGGUCACAUUGGGACCGAGAUACGGCCCAGACUCCUACGGGAGGCAGCAGUGGGGAAUAUUGCACAAUGGGCGCAAGCCUGAUGCAGCGACGCCGCGUGAGGGAUGGAGGCCUUCGGGUUGUGAACCUCUUUCGCUCAUGGUCAAGCCGCAACAAUGGUUGUGGUGAGGGUAGUGGGUAAAGAAGCGCCGGCUAACUACGUG
rnacentral:rRNA from 1 species